rnacentral:rRNA from 1 species
ACUGUACGAGUUUGAUCAUGGCUCAGAUUGAACGCUGGCGGAAUGCUUUACACAUGCAAGUCGAGCGGCAGCGCGGGGGCAACCCUGGCGGCGAGCGGCGAACGGGUGAGUAACAUAUCGGAACGUACCCAGUCGUGGGGGAUAACUAUCCGAAAGGAUAGCUAAUACCGCAUACGUCCUGAGGGAGAAAGCGGGGGAUCGCAAGACCUCGCGCGAUUGGAGCGGCCGAUAUCGGAUUAGCUAGUUGGUGGGGUAAAGGCUCACCAAGGCGACGAUCCGUAGCGGGUCUGAGAGGACGACCCGCCACACUGGAACUGAGACACGGUCCAGACUCCUACGGGAGGCAGCAGUGGGGAAUUUUGGACAAUGGGCGCAAGCCUGAUCCAGCCAUGCCGCGUGAGUGAAGAAGGCCUUCGGGUUGUAAAGCUCUUUCAGCCGGGAAGAAAACGCAUGGGUUAAUACCCUGUGUGGAUGACGGUACCGGAAUAAGAAGCACCGGCUAACUACGUG